CGCCGCCGCCCCGCCGCCCAUGGCCCCGGCGGCCGCUGAGGGAGACGGAGGGGAGGGAAGGGAAAGGGAAGCGCCGGGCCUCGGCCCCGCCCCGCUCGGCCUCAGGAGCCUGGCAGUCCGCCGCUAUCGGGGCCCUCUGGGAAACGGAGUCCCGGCCCUUGGCCCGUGGGGUGGGGUGGGCUAGGAUCACAGAGUCGUUAGGGUUGGAAGACACCUUCAAGAUCGUCUGCUCCAACCAUCCCUACACCACCAAUGUCACCCACUAAACUGUAGUGAGUGAAGUCUUGUUUGUUCAUCGAACAUUGCUGAUGAAGGUUUCAACGGUUGAUUGCCUUUACCCACAGUACCCUGUUGAAUAAACCCGUAUGGUAAUUUUCUGUUAAGUUAACAAUUGCAGCGGAAACCAACUCCAAAUAAGGGCAAAAUGACAUCCCUCUCGCAUGAAAGCGCACAUACCGCAGCGAGGUCAUGAACCCCAACGCAGAGGAAGACGAUGAUCCUCAUCCCCGCGACCACCAGAGGGCUGGCGAAGACCCCCCAGCAACAGGCCGCGCAGCCGUAGAAGGCGCCAGGAUGUGCCCAGUCACCCCGGAACUACUAGGUUAUAAAUCGGGGCUCUGGCGGGCUUUAGGUGCACGUCUGAGACUCCCCGGCCGCCCAGCGCUGUUUUACUUGCCGCCGCUUGCUCGACAAUCAAAUAAAAACCCUGCAAUUGAUAAAGCUAAAAUGUUGUCUAAAUUAAUGUAUAACAAAUUGGUGCCCUGACUCGGGUAGCGGUAAUUUGGCGAGGGCUCGCAGGGGAGGCGCCCCGCUGAUUUAGCGGCCCCUGUUUGGAGACCUCUCCGCCAGAUACCUCUACCGACGAACCCAAAACUUCGGCGACAAGUAAAUAAAAGCCGGCAAACCCUGUAAUCUUUGUGCACGAAGACCCGAACGAAGACUCAGGAGUGAUUAACAAUUGCAGCGGAAACCAACUCCAAAUAAGGGCAAAAUGACAUCCCUCUCGCAUGAAAGCGCACAUACCGCAGCGAGGUCAUGAACCCCAACGCAGAGGAAGACGAUGAUCCUCAUCCCCGCGACCACCAGAGGGCUGGCGAAGACCCCCCAGCAACAGGCCGCGCAGCCGUAGAAGGCGCCAGGAUGUGCCCAGUCACCCCGGAACUACUAGGUUAUAAAUCGGGGCUCUGGCGGGCUUUAGGUGCACGUCUGAGACUCCCCGGCCGCCCAGCGCUGUUUUACUUGCCGCCGCUUGCUCGACAAUCAAAUAAAACCCUGCAAUUGAUAAA